UUGUUACAAGGAGGAGUUUAAACUGGUUUCCUGUUGACAACUUUACCGCUGCCGAGAAUACAGAAUUGGUCUGUGGAUGCUACCUGGACUUUGAAGCUGUUUAACAAUUUCGUAAAAAAAAAAAAAAAAAAAACUGAUAAAAACAAAAGCAAGACUUUUAUCGCAAAACACGCGUUCUAUCUUCUCCUUUCGCUAUUCACACCGGAUCAGCUCUCCCCAAUGACAUAUUUGGCAAAAGCCGCUUUGUUGUCCAGAAGGCCCUGUAAGAUCCGGGGGGUAAAUUAGAGAGACGUCCCCGACAGCAGACGUACAAGAAGCGGUUGUAACUCGCGCUUCAGCACCGGAGACCCAAUACUUUACCGGGAAGUGGCCCAGAGUCGACCCUCUAGCAAGGAUGGUGUGUGAGCUGUUCCUUCUGUCUUCCAUCUGGUUCCUCUUUGUCAUCUUCUGGAUGGAGACCAUCAGUGUCUGGCUCUUCUUGUGCAACUUUUAUCAAGACCGGGCCUUCUAUCACUGGGGAGAUGGAGUUUUUGCAGAUGACCCAGGACACAUGCUGUACAUGUUUGGAAGGGUUGAGGGCUCUGUACAAUCGCAAACAUGAAGCAAGAAGUUAACGGAAAGAAUGGAAAGAAAAAAUCUGAAAAAUAGCAGUGCCCACAAAACAGCAACAAAAAAAAACCCUGAGACACUUGUGAAAUUGGGAACUUUUAUCUUUUUUUGGGGGGGGGGG